rnacentral:rRNA from 1 species
AUUGAACGCUGGCGGCAGGCCUAACACAUGCAAGUCGAGCGGAUGAAGUGAGCUUGCUCCUGGAUUCAGCGGCGGACGGGAGAGUAAUGCCUAGGAAUCUGCCUGGUAGUGGGAGAUAACGUCCGUAAACGGGCGCUAAUACCGCAUACGUCCUGAGGUAGAAAGUGUGGGAUCUUCGGACCUCACGCUAUCACAUGAGCCUAGGUCGGAUUAGCUAGUUGGUGGGGUAAAGGCCUACCAAGGCGACGAUCCGUAACUGGUCUGAGAGGAUGAUCAGUCACACUGGAACUGAGACACGGUCCAGACUCCUACGGGAGGCAGCAGUGGGGAAUAUUGGACAAUGGGCGUAAGCCUGAUCCAGCCAUGCCGCGUGUAUGAAGAAGGUCUUCGGAUUGUAAAGCACUUUAAGUUGGGAGGAAGGGCAGGAAGUUAAUACCUUGCUGUUUUGACGUUACCAACAGAAUAAGCACCGGCUAACUUCGUG